UGCUGUGACUGUGCUCCAUUGCUCCAUUACAUCACUAUUCAUUCUGAGAAUAUUUUUUUCCUAAUAUCCAAUUUGACCCUCUGUUGAUGGAGGAUAUUAUCUCUUGUCUUUUCACUAGUUACCUGGGAGAAAAAGCUAAUCAUCACCUCACUACAACCUUCUUUCAGACAUGACUCCUCAGCCAGCUGACAGUAUUGCCUCAGGAACUGACAGCUCCCACCAGGAGACUGCUGUCAUGGGAAGGUAAGUUGGGAGGAUUCUUUUACUAACGGGAUCUACAGUGAAAGGCUUGCCAAUGUGACUCCUACGUUCGAGAAGAUUUGUAAGGAGGAUCUGGAGAACUACAGGCUUGCCAACCUGACUUUCAUGCAAGAAAAGGGUAUUGUGUGAUCUCUUGAAGGAGAUCACACAACAUGUGCAGGGCAGCCAGAAAGAUCAGGCCCAGCCAGUAUGGGUUCAUAAAAGACAGAUCCUGCUUACCACAGGUCCUGCUUACCCAAUCUAAUUUCGUUCUAUGAUUGAGUGACCCACCUGAAUAAUAGAAAAUUACAGAAGAUAAUAUAUCUUCCUCUAAAGAGAUUAUCUUUACUUUAUGAAAAACGUUUUAAAAUUGUGCUGAUUUUUAAUUGUAGGCAAUAUUACUUCAAGUUUGUAUCUGUUGUAAUAUCUAUCUCUGUCAUUAGCAUUUUGCAUAGCCAUUAACUUCUAUCUAUCCAUAUAUGUAAAUAUUAAUACUCUAGAAUUUUAUUUAUUACCUAACUCUAUUAUAAUUUACUGUACAAUAUUAUACAGCUAUUCUAGAUCAGUAUUAGUAUUCAGUUCUCACUAGUAUCCUCAGUGUCUCCAAAUUCAGGAUAUGUUAUGAUUUCCAUGGCCUUGUCAGUAAUUCUUCCUUACAGUUGGCGUGUAAAUGUAGCCCUUUGAGUUGUAUUCAUGGAGGUAACUUGAACCACUCUUGAUUCCGUAAACUGAAAUAUUAUUACUUCUCUGAUUCAAUAUUUUAGCUGUUUCUGGUUAUCUGCUAACAAAUUAAAUUUUGACUCUUUGACAUUUGGAUAGAGAAGGCCUUUAAAAUUAACUUUUUAAAGAUUUGAAAUACAGCUCGCAGAGCCCAGAACUACCAUCUUCAGUUGUCCUCUGCUAUUCUCCAGAAUUUUGAAAUCAUUCACAGCAUUCUACAAAAUUAUUUUCAACUAUCUCAGCCAGUUAGAAGAAUUAUUUGCCUGCCUACUCUUAUCCUUGUGUCAACGGUUUACGGUCUGGUUUGGCCCACUUCCAUGACUAGUAGGGCGGGGGGAUUUUGCAAAAUCAGUACCUCCAGACAAAAAGGGAACAGGGGACCCCAAAAUAAUUAAAAAACAGCAGCAACAAUCGGAGGAGAAACAAAUUUACUAAAUACAGUAUCAGAAUGCAAGAUAAUACAA